rnacentral:rRNA from 1 species
UACAGAGGGGGCAAGCGUUGUUCGGAAUUACUGGGCGUAAAGGGCGCGUAGGCGGCCUUCUAAGUCGAACGUGAAAUCCCCGGGCUCAACCCGGGAACUGCGUCCGAUACUGGAAGGCUUGAAUCCGGGAGAGGGAUGUGGAAUUCCAGGUGUAGCGGUGAAAUGCGUAGAUAUCUGGAGGAAUACCGGUGGCGAAGGCGGCAUCCUGGACCGGCAUUGACGCUGAGGAGCGAAAGCCAGGGGAGCAAACGGG